GCCGAUGUAGCUCAGUUGGUCAGAGCGCGUGAUUUGUAAUCUCGAGGUCGAGGGUUCGACUCCCCCUAUCGGCUCCA
rnacentral:tRNA from 1 species